GCUGACGGCCAUAUCCCACCGAAUGCUCCGGCUCUCUUUCGACCUCCGAAGUUAAGCGGUGGAGAGCCCGCCUAGUACUGGCCUGAGGGACCGGCUGGGAAGCCCUUAGGGUGCUGUCAGCU
rfam:Symbiodinium microadriaticum strain CCMP2467 Smic.scaffold1686, whole genome shotgun sequence.